AAAGAGAAGAAGCAAUGUGUUUAAAAGCAGUGAGCACAGACCUUAAAGCAAACUUCUGCGAGCCAUGGCUCGUUGUAUUUCACAGGAACUGGAGCAGAAGAGCUGAAAUAGUUGCAGAGCAACAGAAAUCCCCUCACAGGAAGAAGGUUGGGGUGGAUGGAUGGGUCAACACGGCGUUCGACGGUCAGGAUCAUUGCACAAUCUCAACUUGCGCCUCAUUCACCUUCGGUCCAGCACCGACCCUCCUGGAGGUGACGUGGGUUUCAGCAUCGUACCCACGGAUGCUUUGACACGCAGACUCGAGCAGCAAAGGUUCGACCCCCCGAGCGUCUGCAGUCACCCUGAGCACACACGCCUCUCUUUGAACCGAACGUCGACAUAACAGUGAGGUCACGUGACGAUUACUAAAACAAUGACCACCUGACAAUAAAGUGCAUUUGAUCAAAGUGCGUGAUGGAGAAAAGUGAUCUUUUCAUUGUGUAACACUGAAACCACCUGUUUGCCUUGCUCUGAAUUAAAGCCCACACCCACACCUCAGAGCAAACAUGGCAGCCUACAUUGUGUCUUCUUUUUUCUUUCCCACAGUUAA